UGAUUAAUGCUUAGGAAUCUGCCUAUUAGUGGGGGACAACAUUUCGAAAGGAAUGCUAAUACCGCAUACGUCCUACGGGAGAAAGCAGGGGAUCUUCGGACCUUGCGCUAAUAGAUGAGCCUAAGUCGGAUUAGCUAGUUGGUGGGGUAAAGGCCUACCAAGGCGACGAUCUGUAGCGGGUCUGAGAGGAUGAUCCGCCACACUGGGACUGAGACACGGCCCAGACUCCUACGGGAGGCAGCAGUGGGGAAUAUUGGACAAUGGGCGCAAGCCUGAUCCAGCCAUGCCGCGUGUGUGAAGAAGGCCUUAUGGUUGUAAAGCACUUUAAGCGAGGAGGAGGCUACUUUAGAUAAUACCUAGAGAUAGUGGACGUUACUCGCAGAAUAAGCACCGGCUAACUCUGUGCCAGCAGCCGCGGUAAUACAGAGGGUGCAAGCGUUAAUCGGAUUUACUGGGCGUAAAGCGCGCGUAGGCGGCUAAUUAAGUCAAAUGUGAAAUCCCCGAGCUUAACUUGGGAAUUGCAUUCGAUACUGGUUAGCUAGAGUGUGGGAGAGGAUGGUAGAAUUCCAGGUGUAGCGGUGAAAUGCGUAGAGAUCUGGAGGAAUACCGAUGGCGAAGGCAGCCAUCUGGCCUAACACUGACGCUGAGGUGCGAAAGCAUGGGGAGCAAACAGGAUUAGAUACCCUGGUAGUCCAUGCCGUAAACGAUGUCUACUAGCCGUUGGGGCCUUUGAGGCUUUAGUGGCGCAGCUAACGCGAUAAGUAGACCGCCCUGGGGGAGUACGGGUCGC
rnacentral:rRNA from 1 species